GAUGAACGCUGGCGGCGUGCCUAAUACAUGCAAGUCGAGCGAACGGACGAGAAGCUUGCUUCUCUGAUGUUAGCGGCGGACGGGUGAGUAACACGUGGAUAACCUACCUAUAAGACUGGGAUAACUUCGGGAAACCGGAGCUGAUACCGGAUGAUAUUUUGAACCGCAUGGUUCAAAAGUGAAAGACGGUCUUGCUGUCACUUAUAGAUGGAUCCGCGCUGCAUUAGCUAGUUGGUAAGGUAACGGCUUACCAAGGCAACGAUGCAUAGCCGACCUGAGAGGGUGAUCGGCCACACUGGAACUGAGACACGGUCCAGACUCCUACGGGAGGCAGCAGUAGGGAAUCUUCCGCAAUGGGCGAAAGCCUGACGGAGCAACGCCGCGUGAGUGAUGAAGGUCUUCGGAUCGUAAAACUCUGUUAUUAGGGAAGAACAUAUGUGUAAGUAACUGUGCACAUCUUGACGGUACCUAAUCAGAAAGCCACGGCUAACUACGUGCCAGCAGCCGCGGUAAUACGUAGGUGGCAAGCGUUAUCCGGAAUUAUUGGGCGUAAAGCGCGCGUAGGCGGUUUUUUAAGUCUGAUGCGAAAGCCCACGGCUCAACCGUGGAGGGUCAUUGGAAACUGGAAAACUUGAGUGCAGAAGAGGAAAGUGGAAUUCCAUGUGUAGCGGUGAAAUGCGCAGAGAUAUGGAGGAACACCAGUGGCGAAGGCGACUUUCUGGUCUGUAACUGACGCUGAUGUGCGAAAGCGUGGGGAUCAAACAGGAUUAGAUACCCUGGUAGUCCACGCCGUAAACGAUGAGUGCUAAGUGUUAGGGGGUUUCCGCCCCUUAGUGCUGCAGCUAACGCAUUAAGCACUCCGCCUGGGGAGUACGACCGCAAGGUUGAAACUCAAAGGAAUUGACGGGGACCCGCACAAGCGGUGGAGCAUGUGGUUUAAUUCGAAGCAACGCGAAGAACCUUACCAAAUCUUGACAUCCUUUGACAACUCUAGAGAUAGAGCCUUCCCCUUCGGGGGACAAAGUGACAGGUGGUGCAUGGUUGUCGUCAGCUCGUGUCGUGAGAUGUUGGGUUAAGUCCCGCAACGAGCGCAACCCUUAAGCUUAGUUGCCAUCAUUAAGUUGGGCACUCUAAGUUGACUGCCGGUGACAAACCGGAGGAAGGUGGGGAUGACGUCAAAUCAUCAUGCCCCUUAUGAUUUGGGCUACACACGUGCUACAAUGGACAAUACAAAGGGCAGCGAAACCGCGAGGUCAAGCAAAUCCCAUAAAGUUGUUCUCAGUUCGGAUUGUAGUCUGCAACUCGACUACAUGAAGCUGGAAUCGCUAGUAAUCGUAGAUCAGCAUGCUACGGUGAAUACGUUCCCGGGUCU
rnacentral:rRNA from 1 species